CAGCAGCCGCGGGAACACGGAGGGAGCUAGCGUUGUUCGGAAUUACUGGGCGUAAAGCGCGCGUAGGCGGUUACUCAAGUCAGAGGUGGAAGCCCGGGGCUCAACCCCGGAACUGCCUUUGAAACUAGGUGACUAGAAUCUUGGAGAGGUCAGUGGAAUUCCGAGUGUAGAGGUGAAAUUCGUAGAUAUUCGGAAGAACACCAGUGGCGAAGGCGACUGACUGGACAAGUAUUGACGCUGAGGUGCGAAAGCGUGGGGAGCAAACAGGAUUAGAUACCCCCGUAGUCCCUGUCUCUUAUAC
rnacentral:rRNA from 1 species